GUCUGACCACCUUGUAUCUGAGAAACUACUGGAUAUAUUCCUUCUUUCUUCUUUAUGACUUGAUUGGGAUCAUCAAUUUGAAGAGGUGUCUCCUGGAUACUGGAGUGUGGUUCCUCUUGACUUAUCUUAUCAAAAACGACUAUAGUAGUUAUAGAAGUGUUGUCAUCUUUGUUCAAUUCAUCAUUCAUAGCUGGACAAUUGUUUGUAACACUAUUAUCUAAGGAUUUGGCAAGUGCAUUUAAUUCCUCA